rnacentral:rRNA from 1 species
UAGGGAAUCUUCGGCAAUGGGGGGAACCCUGACCGAGCAACGCCGCGUGAGUGAAGAAGGUUUUCGGAUCGUAAAGCUCUGUUGUUAAGGAAGAACGAGUGUGAGAAUGGAAAGUUCAUGCUGUGACGGUACUUAACCAGAAAGGGACGGCUAACUACGUGCCAGCAGCCGCGGUAAUACGUAGGUCCCGAGCGUUGUCCGGAUUUAUUGGGCGCAAAGCGAGCGCAGGCGGUUAGAAAAGUCUGAAGUGAAAGGCAGUGGCUCAACCAUUGUAGGCUUUGGAAACUGUUUAACUUGAGUGCAGAAGGGGAGAGUGGAAUUCCAUGUGUAGCGGUGAAAUGCGUAGAUAUAUGGAGGAACACCGGUGGCGAAAGCGGCUCUCUGGUCUGUAACUGACGCUGAGGCUCGAAAGCGUGGGGAGCGAACAGG